UACGUAGGGGGCUAGCGUUGUCCGGAUUUAUUGGGCGUAAAGAGCGUGUAGGCGCCAGGUAGGUCUGGUGUGAAAACUCGAGGCUUAACCUCGAGAUGUCAUCGGAAACCAUCUGGCUAGAGUCCGGAAGAGGAGAGUGGAAUUCCUGGUGUAGCGGUGAAAUGCGCAGAUAUCAGGAAGAACACCAAUGGCGAAAGCAGCUCUCUGGGACGGUACUGACGCUGAAGACGCGAAAGCGUGGGAGGCGAACAGGAU
rnacentral:rRNA from 1 species